GACGAACGCUGGCGGCGUGCUUAACACAUGCAAGUCGAACGAGUGGCGAACGGGUGAGUAAAACGUGGGUGAUCUGCCUUGAACUUCGGGAUAAGCUUGGGGAACUGGGUCUAAUACCGGCUAGUGCAAGCUGAGCUCGCGGCCUAUCAGCUUGUUGGUGGGGUAAUUGCUACGUAGGCGGGACGGGUAGCCGGCCUGCGAGGUUGUAAGGCCACAUUGGGCCUGAGAGAGGGACCAGAGGGCAACUGGCGGCAGCAGUGGAGAAUAUGGCACAAUGGGCGGAAGCCUGAUGCAGCGACUCCGGGUGGGGAAUGAUGGCCUGCGGGUUGUAAACUCCUUUGGACGGGGACGCGGUACCUGUAUAGAAAGCAACGGCUAACUACGUGCCAGCAGCCGCGGUAAUUC
rnacentral:rRNA from 1 species